AAUAUAUUCAUAACACAUACUUCUUUAUCGAGCCAAUCUGUCUUGUCGGAAUCAGAUUAAAAAAAGUUAAAGAAUAGUGCCUUACCUCACAAGGAGGAAUGUGGGCAGAGUUAUGGCAAAACAUCUCAUUCCUGCACAAGUCGCUCUUAAUUUUUUUCUUCCUGCAGCAUAAGGUCAAACCAAGUCUUAGACAUAUUGAUUUUAAAGCAUGUUAUACUCCCCCAAAGAGUAAUCCUGUUAGCAAAUAGAAAUAUGAAGUAUGAGAAGAAAGACUAUAACACUGCAUAAAUACAUGAAACACAUAUAUAUAACACCACAACAUACUUGAUAUUGAAUUCAGGAAAUAGGAAACUCUUUUGGCAGAUUUUUCCUUUCACAAUAGUUUUUACAGUAUCCAUAUGAAAGUGUAAAUAAACCACCAACUCUUCAGCUAAAGUACACUUCUCUCUUGGAAGCAACCUUGCCAAGAAUACAAAAUAUACUGGAUUAAGGUCUAGGAAUAUAGACGUUCCAUGAACAAAACGUAUUACAUGGGCCCUGCAUAUACCAUAAUACAAAAUCAACUCAAUACACAAAUCACAAGUUUAAACGGUCUAAAUGGAAAGAGGAACUUAUGCAUUCAUACUAUACACAAAAAUGUUUGCUCUUAUGCUUGUCCAUUCUUUUCAACUUGUCCAUCUUCUCUACUCCAGUUACUUAAUUUGCAGCCUGCUAUGCAUGUGUUUUUUAUUGCUCUUUUAAAUAGAAGCUCUUUCACUCCCAUAUUUGAUGCUAAAUAAAAUGAUAAAACUUUUAGGUGAAUAGUUAAAGAAAUUUUCGUCCAUUUUAGCAGUUACCUCUAUGCAUAAGUAGGAAGAAUAUAAGGUCUUAUCUAGAAAUAAUAUAUUUUGUUCAAACAUAUAGCUUUCCUCAAGCUCAAGAGUUAAUCGAGAAAAUUGUAUUUCCUUUUGGCAUAAAUAUAUGCUGCCUCCACAAAUACCUAAGUAUUUGGACUACAUAGCGCAAUGCACUACCUCUUGUAUUCAAGAAACCUAAAUUCUUAAUUGUACCUCAAAAUGAUGUCUAAAAAGGAAAAUAAAAUACAAAUUAGAGUAAACAUGACAUAAUUUAGCCAUAAUUGGUUCAAUAUUUGCAGGGAAGAUCAAAUUAUAUUUACUACGUUGUUACUCUACUUUGGGUACUUGAAGCUGAAGCAGUCUCAUCACUUGCUUUUUUUUAGGCCUUAAGGGAUCUUUAUGACAGUGUUGCUCCACAUCAGUCCCAUCAAAAUUAUCGUGUACUAGUGCCACACAACUUACAAACAGUUUUACUAAUACACACACAAAACUUCAAUAUAGAAAUCAGAAUUUUACAAUUCCAGAAAGGUGCAAAAGGCAAAAAAUUCAAACCUUAAGCUUGCUAUUAUUAAAUAUUCUUAAAUUUGAUAUAAACACAAAAAGUUCAACGGUUAAACACAACAUAGUAAAAAGCCGAGUUGUUCAACCUAGUUUAUUUUUUAACUUCAUUAGAAAUUUUGGAGCAUUUAGUAUUACUAUUACUAUUUUAACUGGCACAAAUUCCCCCGACCACGAAAUCAAAACGUGUGAUAUCAUCUUCGUUUAGUAUCAGUGUUCUACUUGAUUCAACCUUCUCCCAUAGUUAUUGAGAGAUCAUAUUUAUAUCGCCAUUAUCCACAAAUAGAACUAAAGAUUAACUUGGUUCUUUAAUUAAGUUACCUCAAUUGAAUCCCAAGCAAAGAUUACGACGAUUCCUUUGUAACAUGAGUUGGCAGCGAGUGAAUUUGUCUCACAAAUCACGUACAAUUUUUUUCCUCCUUUCUCGUGUGACUUGGUAAAGAAUAGAAGCUUUGCCUUGAAGCCUAACUCUUAAAUAAACAAAGAGAUUUCGGAGGAUGAAGGUAGGUUUGUGGCCAAGAAGCAACAGAGCACACAGAGAGACGACGGAAAGGGAAAGUAAGAAUGAAUUGCAAUAGUCUGUUCGUGCUUUGGGUUAAGCUCAAAUUACACAGAAGACAAAAAUCACAGACACAUGUUUUGUGAAUUGG
rnacentral:lncRNA from 1 species